AUUGAACGCUGGCGGCAGGCCUAACCCAUGCAAGUCGAGCGGAGCUGAGGACGGGUGAGUAAUGCCUGGGAAUCUGCCUGGGAGUGGGGGAUAACGUCAGGAAACGGGCGCUAAUACAGCAUACUAUCAGAUGAGACUAGGGAGGAUUAGCUAGUUGGUUGGGUAAAGGCCUACCAAGGCGACGAUCCGUAACUGGUCUGAGAGGCUGAACAGUCACACGGUAACUGAGACACGGUCCAGACUCCUACGGGAGGCAGCAGUGGGGAAUAUUGGACAAUGGGCGAAAGCCUGAUCCAGCCAUGCCGCGUGUGUGAAGAAGGUCUUCGGAUUGUAAAGCACUUUUAGUUGGGAGGCGUUACCAACAGAAUAAGCACCGGCUAACUUCGUGCCAGCAGCCGCGGUAAUUC
rnacentral:rRNA from 1 species